AUGAGAUCAGGAUCCUGUAACAUGCAAGAAAUAGGCCAACAAGUAACACAGGAGAAAGAUACCCCUGUUCUUCAAUACACAUCCUGCUUUAUUUUCCAAAAAGUAGGGAAAAAUUAAUGAGUAAGGAAAAGCUAUCCUUACCCUUUGGAAUGCAUAACAUAGGCUAAGAGUUUAUAUCUUCAUCAAGCAGAAUUUGCUGGUGGCUGCUGAGAUGGCUUUUUUGAUGAGGUUUUUUAAGUAUGGGUUUUCUUUCUGUUCCUGCUGGUCUGUGCUCUUAGCAAGUGACUUGUUGGUCAUUUAAGGAUUUCUGUUAUGGGGCAACUGAGCCACAGAAAUUCUACUUUUACAAGUCAGGUCAUGAGACAUGCCGUGUGUUCAGCAGUGAUGCCUGCUGGAGGAGUUUCUGUCUGCUGCUUGUCACUUUUCUGCCUCAGUUUGCCUGUCCACAGCCAGGACCGAACUCUUGUCUGACUAAAGAGGAGUGACUGUGAAAAAGAGCUCUGGAUAGCUGGAUAUCAUACAUUGGAAGGACAUUGGAGAAGGACUGUCACACUGAGUCCAUAAAGGGGUUGGAAGUUGUUUUCGGUCUGCUUCAGGAUCCAGCGUUUCAGAUGUUAAAUCAAACCACCUGUGCCUGCAAAAUGGAUAGAGAUCUCAGGCAAACUGGUCAUCUUUCAUGGUCUUUCCAUUCCUUCCGCUUUGGACAGAAAUACAAAACCAUUAUCCUCUCUUAUGCUAUCGUGAUGCCUCUAGCCCUGGAAGGACAGAGGCAUUUAAGCCUUGAAGGAUGAACUGAGGGGAAAUGCAAUUGAAAACCUGUUUUCUUUUUGACUAAUUUAAAUAAUCAUUUAGGCUCUGGCAAAAUUGUGCAGAAUUCUUUUUGUUUUGUUUAACCCACUCCACUGAGCCUGUCACAUAUGGAUAAGGACUUCUCCCUUUGCAGCUAAUAAAAGGAACCCAAUGCUAUGCUAA